rnacentral:rRNA from 1 species
UACGUAGGUGGCGAGCGUUGUCCGGAUUUACUGGGCGUAAAGAGCGCGCAGGCGGUCGUGUAAGUCGAAUGUGAAAGCCCCCGGCUCAACUGGGGAGGGUCAUUCGAUACUGCUCGACUCGAAGGCAGGAGAGGGAAGCGGAAUUCCCGGUGUAGUGGUGAAAUGCGUAGAUAUCGGGAGGAACACCAGUGGCGAAGGCGGCUUUCUGGCCUGUUCUUGACGCUGAGGCGGCGAAAGCUAGGGGAGCAAACGGGG